CCCGGCCAAAAUAAUAAGAAAAGGAAAAACAAUGGGCGAGACUGGAGAGACACCGCCCGCCCAGCCCACUCCCAGAGACAGAAAGAAAGGGAGAAGAGCAAGAGACAGAGAGAGGCCCACCGCGACGACCCUGCCCGACCGCCUCGCUCCGUUUCCGACUCCUAUUCCCGGCUCGGCCUCCCCUGCCCCUAUCGCCUCGCCCUCAGCGAUCGCAUGCCGCCCCGACCCAAAAAAANN
rnacentral:lncRNA from 1 species